CUCGUCCUGAAGUGCGGAUGUAGCCACCAUGGCGGCCAGUCAGAGGCGGGACCCGGCAUUUCCGGCGAGUUGAGAAAUGGCGGCGCACGUGGACACGGCAGCCCCGGAGACCCGUUCGUGGGGAUGGCCUCGCUCUGAGGGGACUGUCGGAGUCAGACGCCAAGCAACAGGUCCAGUCUCCCUAUUGAGAAGCAAGUUGCUCACUUUCCUGCUUCCAAAGUGUGUUCACUGCCGGUGA
rnacentral:lncRNA from 1 species